GGAGGAGAUACCCAGGAGUGUGAGAGAGCUCUCUGUGCUGUUGAAUUGGUUUUCUUGAAAAUCCUGCAGAUCGCCCAGGAAUCCUGUUCAUACAAGGAAAUUAAGUAGGGCUGGUUAGUGGUUUUCAUAUACAAGUGGCUUCUUCUGCGGCAGUGAUGGGUCAGUGAGUGAUGGCAACCUGAAUUCAUGCAUCAUCCAGUCGGUUUUGACACCUUUGGCUGCUCUACCUUUGUAGAAGACGAGAGAUUUCUUCAAGCCUAUGCACUUGCUCCCAUCAGAAGAGUAGAUUGGCCUGUCAGUUCCAGUGGCCUUCCAGAAGCCUGCUCCAGUUACCCUGUUUGGUCUUGUGCUGUUCCGAUUUGUGCAGAGAAAUAUAACAUUGUUAACAAGGGGAAGAGAUGCACAGAAGCUUACUUGGGAGAUCCCAUGGAUCAUAUUUGUAGAUGUCUAGCUGCCUGAUGAGCUCAAUGGGGAGAGACUUCUGCUGGAUUUUUCUUUUAAGUGGACCAUGGUGCCAGGGACGAAACAGGCGGACGAGUUACCAAGAACCGUGUGAGAAAAUCCAAGACUUGCCCAUUCGUGCAUACUCCUACGGUGGUGCUGCACUGCUGCGUUGGGCUCGGCAACAGAGCUUCCACAGACAUUGAUGCGAAAAACCUGCAUGGAUCCAAGUGCUGCCUUCUCAUUCCUCGCUUCCAGCCAG